rnacentral:rRNA from 1 species
UUAUUUGAGAGUUUGAUCCUGGCUCAGGAUGAACGCUGGCGGCGUGCCUAAUACAUGCAAGUCGAGCGAAUGGAUUAAGAGCUUGCUCUUAUGAAGUUAGCGGCGGACGGGUGAGUAACACGUGGGUAACCUGCCCAUAAGACUGGGAUAACUCCGGGAAACCGGGGCUAAUACCGGAUAACAUUUUGAACCGCAUGGUUCGAAAUUGAAAGG